rnacentral:pre_miRNA from 13 species
ACAGAUCUACCCUGUUGAUCCGAAUCUGUGUCGUCAGUUGACUGAUUGGUAACGCAUCACAAAUUGGGAUCACGGGGAGUCUCUGGC